rnacentral:rRNA from 1 species
CGAAGGGUGCAAGCGUUACUCGGAAUUACUGGGCGUAAAGCGUGCGUAGGUGGUUCGUUAAGUCUGUCGUGAAAGCCCCGGGCUCAACCUGGGAAUGGCGAUGGAUACUGGCGGGCUAGAGUGCGGUAGAGGGUGGUGGAAUUCCCGGUGUAGCAGUGAAAUGCGUAGAGAUCGGGAGGAACAUCAGUUGCGAAGGCGGCCACCUGGACCAGCACUGACACUGAGGCACGAAAGCGUGGGGAGCAAACAGGAUUAGAUACCCUGGUAGUCCACGCCCUAAACGAUGCGGACUGGACGUUGGGAGCAACUAGGCUCUCAGUGUCGAAGCUAACGCGUUAAGUCCGCCGCCUGGGGAGUACGGUCGCAAGACUG